rnacentral:lncRNA from 1 species
UGUGGCCCUAAAAGACCAAAAAAAAAAAAAAAAAAAAAAAAAGAGAGAGAGAGAGAGAUUAGAGGCCUGGAAAUGCCUUGGCUGCUGGUGCUGGGGGGAUGCUGCUCAAGGUCUGAGGGGCCCUGAAAAGGCUCCUGGUCCUGCCAGCAGUGGCGGCAGUGCAUUCACACCCGGGAACAGCCUGGCAACCAGACCCCACGCGGCGCUGGUCUUUUCAUGAAGUCUGGCAUCUCCCCUGCAGUGUUGGGCCUCAGGUACCCGCAGCUCUGGGCCCUGCUGUGCCUUUUGCAAGUCAUACCCUGUUCCUUGCUUCAGUUCCUCCUCCAGCAAAUGGGAAAGUUGGGCUGGAAAGUCUCAGGAAGGUAGGUCUCUGCUGACUCUAAUCAUCCAUGGCAGCAAAAAGGGAAUGUUCCCGACCAAGCGAGGGCAGACGGCCCAGGGGUAAGAUGGAAGCCUUGGCAUGUGGAACAUUCUAGAAGACCAGGAGAGUUGGUCUGCUGAGCUUCUGGGUGGUCUUUCUGCAGGGCUGGUGUCACGCGCCCCCCACCCCACCCCCGCACUGAGCAGGCCCCCGUGCUUGGGAUUUAAUCCACUGUAGAUAAUAGUUUUAUCUUUGCGAUUGUGUUUUGUAAAUGAAGUCCAAUGGGAUGAUGGAGAACGGGGGGCCUGGAGUCUUGGCUCAUGUGCAGUCUUGCCUCCCACCACCUCCCUGUUCCUGGGGGCUGGUUCUCAGCUGCUCCUGCCUCUGUCCCCUGGGCCUCCGUUCCCGCGCAGCCUUCCCUUCUCCCCCUUCACUCAGCAGCUGCUGCUCACCUGCCCCCAGCGUAGGCACGGGCAUAGGGAGGGCGGGGGCAGGCAAGCACACCCCACAGUAUCUCGGCCUGGGGUGUGGUGGCUGCAGCCCCGCCCUAGGCUGGCGGCAUGAAGGCACACUCAUGGGUACUCAGCAGGGACAAGCCUCUGCCCCCCGCCCCCCACGCCAGCCAUCACUCCAGGCAGGUACUUAGUGUCUCUAGAGCCUCCUGGCGGAAAGGCCACAGCACCCCUGGGGGUUGCCCCUCUGCUGAGGGUUGGGGCAGGGGGCCAGUGGAAGGAGAUGCAGGGCUCAGCUUCCUGUGGACACAGAAUGUCCAUCCAACCAUCGGGGAGAGAGGG